UACGGAGGGGGCAAGCGUUAUUCGGAAUUACUGGGCGUAAAGCGUGCGCAGGCGGUUGUGCAAGACCGAUGUGAAAUCCCCGGGCUUAACCUGGGAAUGGCAUUGGUGACUGCACGGCUAGAGUGUGUCAGAGGGGGGUAGAAUUCCACGUGUAGCAGUGAAAUGCGUAGAGAUGUGGAGGAAUACCGAUGGCGAAGGCAGCCCCCUGGGAUAACACUGACGCUCAUGCACGAAAGCGUGGGGAGCAAACAGG
rnacentral:rRNA from 1 species